rnacentral:tRNA from 1 species
GCGGACGUGGCGGAAUGGUAGACGCAGCGGACUUAAAAUCCGCUUGGGUUAUCCCAGUGCGGGUUCGAGUCCCGCCGUCCGCACCA